GGGCCACAUGACCAGUUCUACACAUGAGUUGUGAGUAGAACCGAAAAGCUCAGAUUUGAAGUUUUACUUGAUGAUGUAAGACCUUCCAGAAUUGUUUUUCUGCCUUCCAUGACAACUAGCAAUGUCUCCUCAGUCAGCUAAUAACUGAAGCUGGGGCUCAACCCUUUUGAGAUCUUCUGAGAAGCCCUGUCAAGCCAGCCCCAGAGAUUUCCUACCUACAGAUAAAAUAAAACAAAAUAAAAACAGCUCUGGUCCAGUCCCCAGCCCCUGUCCCUUGUUGGGCAUGAAACCUCUGGCACAUCCAGGCAGCUGAAGAAGUUUCCAGAGCCAGAACAAGUCUUCAAGUGGAGAAGCAAAUUGAUGCACACAGUUCCCAUGAGGGGGAAUGGUCCGCCACAGUUACAGUAUUAUUCAGUUUUUACUCCCAAAAGGAGAGAGGCUGAGGGAGGAGGCUGACCAGCUCUGGCUCCUGACCACCACCUUGAGCCUCGAUGAACAACACAGAGCCCACAGAGUGCAGUUCUAAUUCCUCUGACAUCCCAUUUUCAUUCUUUGAUAUUUGUCUGUAUCCAGUUUACACAUAAAUGUUUCCAGUAAAGAGCUCCAAACGUCCUUUUCAGAAAUCUGAAUCCACAUGAAAACAAUGGCAACAAGAAAAAGGUGUAAACUUUCCAGAACAAGCCCAGAGUUUGAAAAUGUGAUAAAGAGGUUAUUGUGUGUCCAAACUUUUCACACACGAAUUGGAGGAGAUUUAACACCAGGAAUAAUAAACAGAGGAAGACCAGCUAAUGCAGAGCAGAUGGGCCUGCAGGGCAAUGCUAAGCAUUUCAACAUCUUUCCCCGUGGACUUUGGACUCAAGUUGACCAAAUGCUGGUUUCUUUAGUUGAAAUAAAGUUAAUGCAAUUGGGGAAAUCCGUAAAUAGGGCUGGCUUGAUUUCUAGGGGGAGCCUACUGGACUAAAAUUUUUAAGAACCUAUGAUAUGGCAGGCAUUUAAAAUUCACUACUUUAAUCCUGACCAUGGCUCCAUUUUACUGACAAGGAAACUGAGGCUCUGAAAGUAUAAAUCACUUACCAAAGGGCAUACAGCCAGUAAGAGAGUGAAGCCAGGAUCGGUUCUAGGUCUGCCUCUGCAUAUGCCAUGUUUCUGCAAACUAGUGUAAUAGGUGAGCAAGGAAAAGAGGGUCAUGGUCUAAUAAGUAUCAGAAACACUGAGAUACAUAUAUAUUUAUUCAUACAUGAUAUCUGUCUAUAUAGAGACAUAUUAUACAUAUACACUAUGUAUACAAUAUAUAUUUAUAUAGUAACAGUCUUAUUGAAUUAUAAUUGUUGUAUAAUAAAUUAUACAUAUUUAAACCAUACAUUUUGCUAAGUUUUGACAUAUGUUUAUAACCUAUGAAACCAUCGCCAUAAACUAAAGAGUGAGCAUAUCCAUUAAUCUCAAAAGUUUCCUCAUGCCCCAUGUAAUUCCUUCCUCUUUUCUCUCCUACCCUUAACCCCAAUCACUGAUCCCUCACUACAGAUUAGCUGCCUUUUCUAGAGUCUUAUAUAGAUGUAAUCAUACAGUAUAUGUUCUUUUUUGCCUGUCUUCUUUCACUCAGAAUGAUUAUUUUGAGAUUCAUUCACAUUAUUACAUGUUUAUUUUUUUAUAUUACUGAGUACUAUUCCAUUGUAUGAAUAUGCCACACUUUGCCUAUUCGUCUAUAGAUGGACAUUUACAUUGUUUCUAAAUUGGGGCUAAUACAAAUAAAGCCACUAUGUACACUGGUGGUCAAUUCUUUGUAAGACACAAGCUCUCUUUUAUUUUGGAUAAAUACCUAAGGGUGGAAUG